ACUCAGCAUUAAUUUAUCCAUUUCAGCACAGUUCAUAACUUUUUGUAUAACCAGUUUUUCUGCGGGUAUAUAUGACUGUUUCCAACAUUGGGCAAAGACAAUCCUGGCAGCAGUCAAUAUAUGUAAUAAUAAGUAUUUUGUGCUCUUUACAUAUUUUUUUGAAGAUCCCCAAUAGGAAGAGUUCUGGUUCUAGGUCUAAUUGUUCAUUGGUGAUUUCCUAUUGCCAAUCUUUGAUUUUAAGCCAAUAUUUUCGAGCCUCUGGGCAAGACCACCACAUAUGAUAAUAUGUUCCCUCUUUUUUUUUUUACAUUUCCAACAUAUAGGACUCAUUUUAGGGUACAUUUUCACUAAUCUGGAAGGGGGUAUAUUCCGUGAUCCUUUAUGUCCUUUUUAUAUUGGUUUUGUAUUUGGAAAUAAGCCCACCAGUCUACUCAUAGCCCUUGUUCUUGGAGCUCUUGUAUUGUUUUUAAGUUUCUGUGAAUGUCCAAUAAGUCUUUAUACUUUAGCAUUUUGUUCAGGUCUAAAUUAUUUGGGUGGGUCAUUGCUUCCAUUGUGGAUAGCCAAACUGGGAUUUUUAUAUAAUGUUUCUUUUUAACUUUGAUCCAGUUGUUUAUUAACGAAUCUCUAAUCAGGUGUCUGUGGAAAUAUUGUUGUUUGGAGGGUCCUGUAUCCCACAGAAAGGCAUACCACCCUCUCUGCAGGUUGUGACCUUCUAUAGCUAAUAUUCUUUUAUUCUUUAGAUUGAUCCAAUCCUUUAACCAGACUAAUAUUGCUGCACUAUAGUAUAAUUCCCAGUUUGGCAAUCCAAAACCUCCUCUGCUCUUUAUAUCUUGUAGCAAUUUCAUUUUUAUUCUGGGGUUUUUAUCCUGCCAAAUAAAUUUUUCUGUCAUUUUAU